rnacentral:rRNA from 1 species
GACGAACGCUGGCGGCGUGCUUAACACAUGCAAGUCGAGCGGAAAGGCCCUUCGGGGUACUCGAGCGGCGAACGGGUGAGUAACACGUGAGUAACCUGCCCCAGACUUUGGGAUAACCCUCGGAAACGGGGGCUAAUACCGGAUACGACACAGCUUCGCAUGGGGUCUGUGUGGAAAGUUUUUCGGUUUGGGAUGGGCUCGCGGCCUAUCAGCUUGUUGGUGGGGUGAUGGCCUACCAAGGCGACGACGGGUAGCCGGCCUGAGAGGGCGACCGGCCACACGGGGACUGAGACAGGGCCGAGCCCCCGAGGGGGGGCAGGAGGGGGAAAUAUGGCAAAAGGGGGGGAGGCUGGAUGCAGCCACGCCGGGUGGGGGUUAGCGGCUUUCGGUUUGUAACCCUUUUCCGGGGGGGAGAAAGGGAAAGGGGGGGUACCUGAAAAAGAGGCCCCGGCAAACGACGGG